rnacentral:lncRNA from 1 species
ACUUCUCCUUUAUGCCACCAUGUGAAGAAGGAUGUAUUUGCGUCCCUUUCUGCCAUGAUUAUAAGUUUCCUAAGGCCUCCACAGCCCUGCAGAACUGUGAGUCAAUUAAACCUCUUUUCUUUGUAAAUUACCCAGUCUCGGGUAUGUCUUUAUUAGUAGCAUGAGAACAGACUAAUACAGAUAGUAAGGACCCACAGACCCCAUGCGUUACUGAGAGCCUUCGGGUCUGUUUAUAGAUCACUGUCUGCCUUAGCAUGCAAAUCUUGAGGUUUAGUUUCUUUUCUGAAAAAUAUAAUCCCAGUUAGAAAUGAUAUACAUGGUUAUACUGGUUAUAAAUGUCUUAAUUUACUUGUGCAAACCAUACACCGAGAUUUCAGAAAAAACAAUUACAUUCCUUAACAGAUGUUUGUCCAUGAGAUGCUAAAGUCAUUAUGUGAAAAGGAAAAUAUACAGCUGUUGGAUUUGUACGACAGAAAGACUUUGCAAAUAAAGAUGUCUCAUAUCCCCUUUAAUUUGUAGAUGAGGAAAUUGAUUCAUUGGCAUCAUAAGUAGAUGUAUGAUCUUGAAAAAUAUACAGAGCCAAAUCGAACAAAGGGUUUUUAGCUCCCAAUUCAGGGAGUUUACAGCCUCUUCCCUGUGGCUUGCAUGGCUCCUUCUCACACACAAUCCCCCGCCUGCAUGGUUAGAGUGGGCAGUCCAGGGAUCCAGGCUAUUGGAGUGAAGGGAUAAAAACUGUGGGUAACUCACAGCCAAAUUGGCUAAUUUGUUCUGAGUAGUGACUGAUAGAGUGUUCUGAGGCUACAAGGAAAGAAGAGGUCGGCCACAUUUUAUUUUAAUGCAUUUCCAUUAAAGAGUUCAUAAAUUGUUCUUUUGAGAAGACUCUUAAGAGAUUAAGUUUAGGAAAUAUUGAAAAUGGAGGAAAACCUCCCUUUUAAAUAUGAUCUCCUGUGUUCCAUGAUCCAUUUAACAUCAAACCAUUCUUCACUUGUCUUAACACUUUUCUUAACAGUGAGACACGCAUCAAAGUGAAUUCAAAACAAUGUUAAGAGUUUUAAGAUACCUAAUAUAGCUGAAAGCUAUUUCCUUGUUAUUUAAUAAACGUCUGAUUUUAGGCAAAUCCCAUUCUUCCUUAUUUUUGGACAUCAAAUUGUAGUUUUACAUUUAUUUGUUUAGGGUUAUCCACAACAUGAAACACACACAACUCAUUAAAAGUAAAUUAUAUUUUCAGAAGUCCAUCAGCUAAUGCCAGGUAAACUGUACCAGCAACUAAGGGCAGUGGACAUAAUGGUUUGGAGAAUAAUGUCAUGUUGGAGGACAAGGUUGACCCCUGUUCCCUGGCUAAUAUUUAAUCUAUAUUUUAAUGAAAACAUCGGAUGUUUAUUUUUGCAUUGAAAAAAAAGAAUAAGUAUUGAAAUUUUUCUGAAAGGGAAAAACAAUGUAUGUGUAUUUACAAAUGUAGUAUGUGGCACUUACAUUAAAUAAAAAACACCUGCAACUAUACAGGCUGUGAGAGACUUAGGUAAUAUGAAGAUGAUGGUGAUGGUAAUGAUGAUAAUGAUGACAUGAGACAAAUACCAAUAUUUAUUGAGUCCCAUCUCUUAAAUUGUUGUGCCCUUGGCAUUUGACCAUCAUUCUAUUUCCAUGUAACAGCUUUAAAAGGGAGGUGCCAUAAUCCCCAUUUAAGAUGCAGAACCAUCCACUUGUUCACAUCAGCAAUAUUGUGUUCAGUUUUUAGUGCCACUUUUUAAUAACGACAUUGGUAAGCUCUCUCCACAGAAGGAGGAGCAAAAUUGUGAUAUAUCUAGAGGUCAUAUUAUUUAAGAAAUUGAUAAGAAAGUGGAAGAAUAAUUAGGACUUGGGAGUUCAUAAUAACUUCUUUCAGCUACUAAAAUGGUUGUCCUGGGGAAGAAUUGUUUGCAGAGCUCUCCAAAGGCAGAAUGAUGGCUAAUGGAGGAAAGUCAAAUGAAGACUUCGUGUUACUGUCAUGCCUAACAUAAGGAGGAGCUUUGUGACAGGCGGAACUGCUCAUAUAUAAUAUAUGGGAGUAUGAGAUGUGCUGCUUAGUGAGGCAUCUACUCUUUCAUUCACUUAAUCAUUUGUUCAGAAAACGUGUUUUGAACGUCUCUGAUAAAGAACACAUGGUCUAGAGAGAAAUUCAGUGCUACCAAAGCUGGAUCAACCAGGUGACAAAGGAAGCUCCAAGAAUUAAUUGACUAGGAACUGCAAAAAUCCAUGCUUCAGAAAACCAGUGAGAAGACUAAAAACCCUGAUGAUAUUAAGUGAGGCAUAGUGGGUUCCUUAGUCCUGUACCUCCAAGAAUAGUGAAAGAAAGCAAAAUUAAAGAGAGUCAGUGUUGAGCUAUGUGUGCUGCAUUUAAAAUGGUGUGACCUGCUGGAAGCUUCACGAACACUUGUUAAGUGUUCUAUUUAGGAAACUGGAAAUUCUCAUUGUGAUCACACGCAUCUCAUAAAACAAUCCAUCGCUUGGAUUUCUCUCAGAGGUGAAAUAAAGCCAUUCCCACACUGCCUGUUAACAGAAAUAUGCCAGGAAUUAAGGCUUUCUCAUUGUGUCUACCUAAAUUACCUUCUCAGCUGGGUAUUCCUGUCUCACUUUCCAAAUCCUGUUUCCUGGGAGUUGAAAGCUUUCCAGUUGGUGUAUUUAUAGCAGUGGCAAAUCCAUAGAAUCAUUGUUCACAUUCUAGUAACAGUAACAUCUGCAGAAAUUCUUUGCCCCAGAUAGCAAUUUUACCCUCAAACAUUGUAUUGAAAAGUUGAGGGAAAAAAAAGAACAACUUCCAGAGAAUAACUUUCCUAAGCGUUGCACACAGUAGGCACUUGAUAUAGCUGCUAAUAUAAAAAUAUCUAAGACCUUCUGCUGAUUGUCACAUAGUAUAAGGGUAUGUGAGUAAAUGGUUGCUAAACUGCAUUUUGGCACUAACAUAUGACCAGAUCCAUCUGUUGGGAUCCCAUGCCGUGGUCCCAUGGCAGUGAGCUAUUGUGGAAAAUGUAUUCUACUGAGUGGAGGGAGAUGAAGGAAGUGAUCACUAAGCCCCUGAUAACUACCAUUUUGCUUUCUAUUAAUUUUACUACUUCAGAUACUUCAUAUCAUGCAAUCAUACUUGCCUUUAUGUGACUACUAUGUUUCACUUAGCACAAUGUCUCCAAAGUUCAACCGUGUACCAUGUGACAGGGAUUUCUUCCUUUUUUAAGGCUGAAUAACAUUCUGUUAUAUUGGUGUGUGUGUGUGUAUGUGUUUGUGUGUGUGUGUGUGUGUGUGUGUAUAUCACAUUUUCUUUAGCCAGUCAUCUGUUUAUCUGUUUACUGACACUUGUUUGCUUUCACCUCUUGGCUAUUGUGGACAGUGCUGCUAUGAACAUGGAUGAGCAAAUAUUUCUUGAAGACCUUUCUUGUGAAUAUUUUGGAUAUAUGAAUGCUAUAUAUUGAUUUUUUUCAACUUAUGGACUAAAACAG